UACAGAGGGUGCGAGCGUUAAUCGGAAUUACUGGGCGUAAAGCGUGCGUAGACGGUUAUGUAAGUCGGGUGUGAAAGCCCCGGGCUCAACCUGGGAAUUGCAUUCGAGACUGCGUAGCUAGGAUGCGGAAGAGGGAAGUGGAAUUUCCGGUGUAGCGGUGAAAUGCGUAGAUAUCGGAAGGAACAUCAGUGGCGAAGGCAGAUCUCUGGGCCAUUACUGACGCUGAGGAGCGAAAGCAUGGGGAGCGAACAGG
rnacentral:rRNA from 1 species